AUAUUAAAGAAGAAUCUAUCAAUUUAUUAGCUCAAAUCAAUGCCAAAAUGGUUGCUAGUUAACAUUAAUCAUUCUAAAUUAUCAAACUGUAAAAUUUAAAUCUCGAGGAGUCGCUAAAGAAUGGCAAAGUCGUCGCAAAAGAGCCACUUCGUUGCGACGUAAGCAUAGGAGUCACAAGCCAAGAUUUAAGAUUUCUUAAUUUUAAGAUCUAAUUACAUUAAUAAUGAGUAUUUUGAAUCAGUUACAGUCCAAUUAUGAUGUAU
rnacentral:sRNA from 1 species